rnacentral:rRNA from 1 species
GUAUGGGGGGCACCCUGAUCUAGCCAUGCCGCGUGAGUGAUGAAGGCCUUAGGGUCGUAAAGCUCUUUCGCCUGUGAUGAUAAUGACAGUAGCAGGUAAAGAAACCCCGGCUAACUCCGUGCCAGCAGCCGCGGUAAUACGGAGGGGGUUAGCGUUGUUCGGAAUUACUGGGCGUAAAGCGCGCGUAGGCGGAUUAGAAAGUUGGGGGUGAAAUCCCGGGGCUCAACCCCGGAACUGCCUCCAAAACUGCUAGUCUAGAGUUCGAGAGAGGUGAGUGGAAUUCCGAGUGUAGAGGUGAAAUUCGUAGAUAUUCGGAGGAACACCAGUGGCGAAGGCGGCUCACUGGCUCGAUACUGACGCUGAGGUGCGAAAGUGUGGGGAGCAAACAGGAUUAGAUACCCUGGUAGUCCACACCGUAAACGAUGAAUGCCAGUCGUCGGAUAGUAUACUAUUCGGUGACACACCUAACGGAUUAAGCAUUCCGCCUGGGGAGUACGGUCGCAAGAUUAAAACUCAAAGAAAAUUGACGGA